GACGAACGCUGGCGGCGUGCUUAACACAUGCCAGUCGAGCGGAAAGGCCCUUCGGGGUACUCGAGCGGCGAACGGGUGAGUAACACGUGAGUAACCUGCCCCAGACUUUGGGAUAACCCUCGGAAACGGGGGCUAAUACCGGAUACGACACAGCUUCGCAUGGGGUCUGUGUGGAAAGUUUUUCGGUUUGGGAUGGGCUCGCGGCCUAUCAGCUUGUUGGUGGGGUGAUGGCCUACCAAGGCGACGACGGGUAGCCGGCCUGAGAGGGCGACCGGCCACACUGGGACUGAGACACGGCCCAGACUCCUACGGGAGGCAGCAGUGGGGAAUAUUGCACAAUGGGCGGAAGCCUGAUGCAGCGACGCCGCGUGAGGGAUGGCGGCCUUCGGGUUGUAAACCUCUUUCAGCAGGGACGAAGCGUAAGUGACGGUACCUGCAGAAGAAGCGCCGGCCAACUACGUG
rnacentral:rRNA from 1 species